rnacentral:rRNA from 1 species
GAUUCAUGAUAACUUCUCGAAUCGCACGGCCUUGCGCCGGCGAUGGUUCAUUCAAAUUUCUUCCCUAUCAACUUUCGAUGUUUGGGUAUUGGCCAAACAUGGUUGCAACGGGUAACGGAGGGUUAGGGCUCGACCCCGGAGAAGGAGCCUGAGAAACGGCUACUACAUCCAAGGAAGGCAGCAGGCGCGCAAAUUACCCAAUCCCGACACGGGGAGGUAGUGACAAUAAAUACUGAUACAGGGCUCUUUUGGGUCUUGUAAUUGGAAUGAGUACAAUUUAAAUCCCUUAACGAGGAACAAUUGGAGGGCAAGUCUGGUGCCAGCAGCCGCGGUAAUUCCAGCUCCAAUAGCGUAUAUUAAAGUUGUUGUGGUUAAAAAGCUCGUAGUUGAACCUUGAGCCUGGCUGGCCGGUCCGCCUCACCGCGUGUACUGGUCCGGCCGGGCCUUUCCCUCUGUGGAACCCCAUGCCCUUCACUGGGUGUGGCGGGGAACCAGGACUUUUAC